rnacentral:misc_RNA from 1 species
GAUGAAGAACGUAGCGAAAUGCGAUAAGUAGUGUGAAUUGCAGAAUUCAGUGAAUCAUCGAAUCUUUGAACGCACAUUGCGCCCCUUGGUAUCCCGAGGGGCAUGCCUGUUCGAGCGUCAUUUCACCACUCAAGCCUGGCUUGGUGUUGGGCGACGUCCUCUUUGGGGACGCGCCUCGAAACGCUCGGCGGCGUGGCACCGGCUUUAAGCGUAGCAGAAUCUUUCGCUUUGGAAGUCGGGGCCCCGGCUGCCGGAAGACCUGCUCGCAAGGUUGACCUCGGAUCAGGCAGGGAUACCCGCUGAACUUAAGCAUAUCAAUAAGCGGAGGA